UCAUAUUUAUCAAAAGGCUUAAGGCACAACGUCAUGGUGAAAUUCUAAGGAGGCAAUCAUUGUAACCCCUGGGAGAGAAAGAAGAAAUAAUGGUUAAUCCACUACUGCACAGAGAGUCCUAAAUGCAGUUGUACAGCAGUGCUGAUAAAAGACCAAAACAGCAUCCUGUCAGAAUGAUUGCAGUUCGUUCUGGUGACAUUCCAUCUGGGAGUUACAAG
rnacentral:lncRNA from 1 species